GAUGAACGCUGGCGGCGUGCCUAAUACAUGCAAGUCGAGCGAACAGACGAGGAGCUUGCUCCUCUGACGUUAGCGGCGGACGGGUGAGUAACACGUGGAUAACCUACCUAUAAGACUGGGAUAACUUCGGGAAACCGGAGCAAAUACCGGAUAAUAUAUUGAACCGCAUGGUCCAAUAGUGAAAGACGGUUUUGCUGUCACUUAUAGAUGGAUCCGCGCCGCAUUAGCUAGUUGGUAAGGUAACGGCUUACCAAGGCAACGAUGCGUAGCCGACCUGAGAGGGUGAUCGGCCACACUGGAACUGAGACACGGUCCAGACUCCUACGGGAGGCAGCAGUAGGGAAUCUUCCGCAAUGGGCGAAAGCCUGACGGAGCAACGCCGCGUGAGUGAUGAAGGUCUUCGGAUCGUAAAACUCUGUUAUUAGGGAAGAACAAAUGUGUAAGUAACUAUGCACGUCUUGACGGUACCUAAUCAGAAAGCCACGGCUAACUACGUG
rnacentral:rRNA from 1 species